AGAGUUUGAUCCUGGCUCAGGACGAACGCUGGCGGCGUGCCUAAUACAUGCAAGUCGAACGCUUCUUUCCUCCCGAGUGCUUGCACUCAAUUGGAAAGAGGAGUGGCGGACGGGUGAGUAACACGUGGGUAACCUACCCAUCAGAGGGGGAUAACACUUGGAAACAGGUGCUAAUACCGCAUAACAGUUUAUGCCGCAUGGCAUAAGAGUGAAAGGCGCUUUCGGGUGUCGCUGAUGGAUGGACCCGCGGUGCAUUAGCUAGUUGGUGAGGUAACGGCUCACCAAGGCCACGAUGCAUAGCCGACCUGAGAGGGUGAUCGGCCACACUGGGACUGAGACACGGCCCAGACUCCUACGGGAGGCAGCAGUAGGGAAUCUUCGGCAAUGGACGAAAGUCUGACCGAGCAACGCCGCGUGAGUGAAGAAGGUUUUCGGAUCGUAAAACUCUGUUGUUAGAGAAGAACAAGGACGUUAGUAACUGAACGUCCCCUGACGGUAUCUAACCAGAAAGCCACGGCUAACUACGUGCCAGCAGCCGCGGUAAUACGUAGGUGGCAAGCGUUGUCCGGAUUUAUUGGGCGUAAAGCGAGCGCAGGCGGUUUCUUAAGUCUGAUGUGAAAGCCCCCGGCUCAACCGGGGAGGGUCAUUGGAAACUGGGAGACUUGAGUGCAGAAGAGGAGAGUGGAAUUCCAUGUGUAGCGGUGAAAUGCGUAGAUAUAUGGAGGAACACCAGUGGCGAAGGCGGCUCUCUGGUCUGUAACUGACGCUGAGGCUCGAAAGCGUGGGGAGCAAACAGGAUUAGAUACCCUGGUAGUCCACGCCGUAAACGAUGAGUGCUAAGUGUUGGAGGGUUUCCGCCCUUCAGUGCUGCAGCAAACGCAUUAAGCACUCCGCCUGGGGAGUACGACCGCAAGGUUGAAACUCAAAGGAAUUGACGGGGGCCCGCACAAGCGGUGGAGCAUGUGGUUUAAUUCGAAGCAACGCGAAGAACCUUACCAGGUCUUGACAUCCUUUGACCACUCUAGAGAUAGAGCUUUCCCUUCGGGGACAAAGUGACAGGUGGUGCAUGGUUGUCGUCAGCUCGUGUCGUGAGAUGUUGGGUUAAGUCCCGCAACGAGCGCAACCCUUAUUGUUAGUUGCUACCAUUUAGUUGAGCACUCUAGCGAGACUGCCCGGGUUAACCGGGAGGAAGGUGGGGAUGACGUCAAAUCAUCAUGCCCCUUAUGUCUAGGGCUACACACGUGCUACAAUGGCCGGUACAACGAGAUGCAAUACCGUGAGGUGGAGCAAAACUAUAAAACCGGUCUCAGUUCGGAUUGUAGGCUGAAACUCGCCUACAUGAAGCUGGAGUUACUAGUAAUCGCGAAUCAGAAUGUCGCGGUGAAUACGUUCCCGGGCCUUGUACACACCGCCCGUCACACCAUGAGAGUUGGCAAUACCCAAAGUUGGUGAUCUAACCCGUAAGGGAGGAAGCCACCUAAGGUAGGGUCAGCGAUUGGGGUGAAGUCGUAACAAGGUAGCCGUAGGAGAACCUGCGGCUG
rnacentral:rRNA from 1 species